rnacentral:tRNA from 1 species
UGGUGUAUAGCCAAAUGGGAAGGCAAUGGCUUUUGGUGCUAUCAUUUAAAGGUUCGAAUCCUUUUACACCAG